GUUACCCUCUCUUUUCCUUGCUUUUCUUUUCUUUUUCUAAAUAAGGGAUAGUUAUCUGGAAUACAUAGGUACUAUUUUGAUUACAUGUGUGUUUCUCAUGUCGAGGCACAACUUCUUGUUUGCUACAAUAGUCUUAGGGUGUUCCCGUUCAGAAAAAAUAUUACUUUUGGAUGAUCAAAUAAUAAAUAAAUAUGUUCAUAUAUAUAUAUAUAAAUACAUAUAUCUAUACCUAUAAAAAACAAAGAAAAAGAAUAAAAAAAGGGAAAACAAAUUUCCUCUCCUCACCUUUUUCCCUCAGCCCGGCGCACCCUGUUGCACGUGGACACACGCGUGGCUGCUCGAGCCGCGUGAGCCUCCCCUCGCCCAGUCGUUGUUUGCGCAGCGGGCCCCCAUAUCAUCUCCUUGCUUCCCCCUUCACAACUGCCUCAGCCCCGUGCAUCCGAACGCCAAGGAAACUAGCCCCCACUCCAUCAUGGCCCGCCCACGUUGCUCGGACUUCAAGCCCCCUGCAGUUCAGUUGCAUAGCAGUCCUGGAGUUGCGCUCGCCACCAAGCUACGCGUUGCCAUGCCCGGAGAAGGCUACGCCCGUGAUUCUCCCUCAUCGAGUUCGUCGCAAGGUGAGAGUACAGAGCGUGGCCAUCUCUUUUGUUUUCUUUGCCUCGUCCGAGCUGUGGCAAUGGCGAUCCAUCGUCAUUCGCGCUUCCCCGGCGAAGUCGGCUGAGCCGUCCUCGCUCUCUCUGUUGUGUGGUCGUGCGUCUACCCUUGCAGCCCCUCCCUACAACGCCCUUCGCGGCCAUGGCUGACCGAACCGCCAGCCUCGGCACGACGGCACAGCUAGCCGGCCUGCUGCCAGGCGCAACGGCCUGGGCAGAGCCCCUGCGCGCCCAAUCGCCACCGUAAGCCCCGCUCGCCGGCGAGCCCACCCAGCCGUGCCCUGCCUCCCAUGCGACCCCCGUGCUUUGCAACCACUCGUUCCGUCAAAGGUGUAGGAGAGAGGAAAAUAUGUGUUCGUGGGUUGAAGAAGCCAGAAAAGGGAACCGUUAGUCUAUUCCCAUGAUUCAUGGCCACGUUUCAAUCUCCUAGUGCACCACGAUCUAGCUAGAUCCCAGGAUGCUUUGUGGCUUUUCUUUGUGUGGCUCUCAGUGUGGUAAGCCAUCAGCCAAUAGAAUUGCGUCAGAUCGUAGUAAACUGUGGCUGAUUAAGUAUUCAAUAUCUUUUGCAUCGUAAACUUAUUUCGACUCGUUUUAGUUGUGUCAACUUCGCAAUAAUAUUGUAUACUCAUUGAAAGUACUAUUUGGUCAUGACACAUGUUUAUUUAACUAAUUAAUUAAUUGUUCGUUCGGUAGUUAUUAAAAAUGACCUUCCAAUUAAACCUAAUGUAUAGUUUUAAUUUUUGUUUUUUAAAUACAUGUUAAUAUGAUUAAUGUCAACUCAACCAUUUUAAAUUAAUAGAUUCUUAGUAUAAACAUGGCAUCAAUAUGUUAUUCUUGAGUGUCACGUGCGUUGCUUCGCGCGUGUCAUGCGUGUCGUUCACGCGCCAUGCUGUUUCACGUGUUGCCGCGUGCCGUUUCGCGCGCUGCCGCGCGUGUCGUCACGCGUUGUUUGUCCGCUUCGUCGCACAUCACUCGCGAGUGUCGCGCGUAUUGUUCGCACGUGUUGCCGCGCGCCGUUCGCGUGUGUCGCGCGCCUUGCCACGCCGUUCGCGCGUAUCGCGCGUUGUCCGCGCGCGAGAUUAAACUAUUCCCUUAUAAUCACUCAUGUCAGUUAAUUAUUUAUUUAUUUAAUCAUCCACAAUAAAAACAGUAAGUUAGUCAAAACUAAGUAGCUUUAAUCUAUAUUUCAUAAAUGCUAAUUAAUAUAAUUAUAUCGAAUUAAAUAUUCUUAUUAAUACUUGUUUAGUAUAAACACGUCACCUAUUUAGUUCUCUCGCCUGUCGUGCGUGUUAUGGUUAGCUACAUGCUAGCGCUUUACUUUAAUCAAUGAACAAGAUGAGAUACAAUGAUGAUACUAUGAUUUUAUUCUGGAUAUGAUGAUAUACUUGUGGCAUUUAGGGGACUCGGGCUGUUUCCCGAGUACCUCUCCGUAAGGACCUGUUCGUUGAGAGACCACCCGGGAUAACAGUGCAACCAUGAGGGUGAAAUGUGAUGCCCUUAGCUAAUUAAUUAGAGGAACUAGAGGUGUAGUUGCUUCGCCGUCGUGUCGUCAAUGGGGUCCAAGCACAGUGCUUGCUCUGCCGAGGCUGAGUGCCGAGGUUCUUUCGUUUUGCUUUUUGGUUAGUCACUCUCCUGCGGGGAGGGGUACUGUGUUUAUCAAACUGGAGAAACCUAACAGGCGGCUAUGACCUCUAGGGAAUCUUUGUAAAAGCUACGUAGUGAUACCCUGCCGGACCACCUAGGAAGUGAUCAAUGGGGAGUCAUGAUCCCCGGGCAAAAUGGGAAUCACGACUCAUGGGUAAAGUGUGCGACCUCUGCAGAGGGUAGUGAAACUGAUAUAUCAGCCAUGCUCACGGUUAUGAGCGGCCUUGGGAUCCUCUUUGAUUAGAGAUACAGAUGGUUCAAGAUGUUAUGGUUCUAUUUAUGAUUUUGGUUCGAUGAUGAUAAUGAUGUUUCCUCGAUGAGGAAAUGGUUCACGGGUUGGUUAUUACUAAAACUUGGCUUCCACUGAUAAUAAAUACCUGACCAACUAAAAGCAACUGCUUGAGCUUAACCCCACAUAAAAAGCUAGUCCACUUCAGCCAAACGGGGCAUUUGCUGAGUACGUUGAUGUGUACUCACCCUUGCUUUCACAAAACACCAUGUUGCCUUUGGUGCAAUCUAUGCUCAAGUAAAGAAGAAGGCGUCGAGGCGGAUCUCCGGGAGUUUCAGGACUUCGGCGAGUUUGAGGAUUAGGCUAGCGACCUCCCCCAGUCAGCUGCCUGUGGUGGGUUUAUUUACGUUGGCUACGUUUCUGUUCUGUGUACUUUGGUUAUAUUAUGUAAAUGACUCUAGUCUUUCAUAUUAUUACUUAUCUUUAUUGUUAUUCGAAGCAUUGUGCUAUGAUGAGUCAUUUAUGUAAUCGCCGUGUACGUGAAUUUCUGAUCCUGGCACGUACAUGGUUCGCAUUCGGUUUACCUUCCAAAACCGGGUGUGACAAUAAGGGAGCAGCAAGGAAGGUUUCAUGAAGAGUUGCGAUAAGAGAAAAUGGCAUUCAUCUGACAACAAUCAGAGUACAUUGCUGCUUACAACGCACAGGCGCAACAAAAAAGUGAACUCUUGGUUUUCAGAGCAACCACAACAAUCAUUCAUUUUCCCUCAAUUUUAGCCGCUGAUAUCUCAGGAUUACAUGAUACAACACCUUCUCCAACUUAGAAUUCCCAGAAGAAGAAGAUGAAAUUCAAGAAGUGGUUUCUGAAGAGGAGUCUGCUUCAGUGCCUGCUCAUCAAGUGAUGGGAGCCAUCUAACUGGGGUUUAAUAGAGGGAUUUAGACCUCUGUCUCUGCAACUAAG